GACGAACGCUGGCGGCGUGCUUAACACAUGCAAGUCGAACGGAAAGGCCCUGCUUUUGUGGGGUGCUCGAGUGGCGAACGGGUGAGUAACACGUGAGUAACCUGCCCUUGACUGUGGGGUAACUUCAGGAAACUGGGGCUAAUACCGGAUAGGAGCUCCUGCUGCAUGUUGGGGGUUGGAAAGUUUCGGCGGUUGGGGAUGGACUCGCGGCUUAUCAGCUUGUUGGUGGGGUAGUGGCUUACCAAGGCUUUGACGGGUAGCCCGCCUGAGAGGGUGACCGGACACAUUGGGACUGAGAUACGCGCCAGACUCCUACGGGAGGCAGCAGUGGGGAAUAUUGCACAAUGGGCGGAAGCCUGAUGCAGAACAGCCGCGUGCGGGAUGACGGCGUUCGGGUUGUAAACCGCUUUCGCCUGUGACGAAGCGUGAGUGACGGUAAUGGGUAAAGAAGCACCGGCUAACUACGUG
rnacentral:rRNA from 1 species